rnacentral:rRNA from 1 species
UACGUAGGGUGCGAGCGUUUGUCCGGAAUUAUUGGGCGUAAAGAGCUCGUAGGCGGUGUGUCACGUCGGCCGUGAAAACCUGCAGCUUAACUGUGGGCGUGCGGUCGAUACGGGCAUCACUGGAGUUCGGCAGGGGAGACUGGAAUUCCUGGUGUAGCGGUGAAAUGCGCAGAUAUCAGGAGGAACACCAGUGGACGAAAGCGGCUUCC